rnacentral:lncRNA from 1 species
CUUCCAACCCGGGCCCCGGGCGGCCAGCGGCGCCGCGCUACGCUGCGCACAAUGAGCCACUGACCACGCCCCCCCACGGGGACCACGCCCCCGACUCUGCUCCAGCGCAACCUGCAGCGGCACCCGGAUGACGGGUGCGCGUGCGCACUGAGCAGGCAUGGAGGGGGCGGAGCUCGCAGCGGACCGGUGGCUCGGCCUCUGGCGUGGUCCCGGGAAAGUCUCCGCGUGUCCAACCGCUCAGCUGUCCUCGGUACCACGGUUCCCGCCUCUCCAUUAGCCUCCUUCUCCUCUCAUCUCUUACCUAGAGCCAUCGCCACUUGAGAGGCACCCCAUAGUAGGGAGAGUAGUUUCCUGGUUAUAAAACUUAAAUUGGACUGGGCAGUGGUGGGACAUGCCUAUCAGCACUAAGGGGAGAGAGGCUUGUGGAUCUCUGAGAUACACUACACUCCAGCCUGGUAUCUGCAGAGUGACCCAGGACAGCCAGGGCUACACAGAGAAAUCCUACCUUUAUAAAUAAAU